UUGCUUGAUUUGCUAUUUGAUGACCAGUGGUCAUUUUGAAACCCAGUGGUCAAACAAUAGCAAACCCGGCGAG
rnacentral:pre_miRNA from 1 species